ACGCUCGACACCUACGGGAGGCAGCAGUGGGGAAUAUUGGGCAAUGGGCGAAGGCCUGACCCAGCAACGCCGCGUGAGGGAUGAAUGUUUUCGGAUUGUAAACCUCUGUCCUCAGGGACGAAGGACGUGACGGUACCUGAGGAGGAAGCCCCGGCUAACUACGUGCUAGCAGCCGCGGUAAUCUGAGCGGGCUGGCAAGGC
rnacentral:rRNA from 1 species